CAUAACACAAAAUAAUGUCAGUGGACCAUAACACAAAAUAAUGUCAGUGGACCAUAACACAAAAUAAUGUCAGUGGACCAUAACACAAAAUAAUGUCAGUGAACCAUAACACAAAAUAAUGUCAGUGGACCAUACCACAAAAUAAUGUCAGUGGACCAUAACACAAAAUAAUGUCAGUGGACCAUAACACAAAAUAAUGUCAGUGGACCGUAACACAAAAUGAUGUCAGUGGACCAUCACAUAAAAUAAUGUCAGUGGACCGUAACACAAAAUAAUGUCAGUGGACCGUAACACAAAGAUAUUGUCAGUGGACCGUAACACAAAGAUAUUGUCAGUGGACCAUCACACACAAAAAAAGAUGUGGGUGGACACAACAAUAAGUGAGGUCAAUGGACCAUGGCACAAAAUAAAGUCAAUGGAGACAAAAAGUAAAAUCUGUGGACAAAAGACAAGGUCAGUGGAACAUAACACAAGAAAAGGUCAGCGAACGCAAGGCAAACAAUGUCCGUGGACCAUCCCACAAAAUAAGAUUAGUGGACAGUCCGUGGACCAUCCCACAAAAAAAGAUUAGUGGACAGUCCGUGGACCAUCCCACAAAAUAAGAUUAGUGGACAGUCACACAAAGUAAUGCCUGUGGACUAUCAAACAAAAUAAGGUCGGUGACGGCAAGACAACACUAAGUCAGACGAAUGAUAUUCAAAUUAAGGUCAGUGGACAGUUACAUAAAAUAUGGCCAGUGGACAUAAAAUAUGGCCAGUGGACAUAAAACGAAAUAAAGGGAGUGGACGCAAGACAACAAGAUCAGUGGACGCAAGACAAAACAAGGUCAGUGGACCAUUACAACUAAUAAGGUCAGUGGACCAUUACAACUAAUAAGGUCAGUGGACCAUUACAAAUAAUAAUGUCAGUGAACCAUUACAACUACUAAGGUCAGUGAACCAUUGCAACUAAUAAGGUCAGUGAACCAUUACAACUAAUAAGGUCAGUGGACCAUUACAACUAAUAAGGUCAGUGAACCAUUACAACUAAUAAGGUCAGUGGACCAUUACAACUAAUAAGGUCAGUGGACCAUUGCAACUAAUAAGGUCAGUGAACCAUUACAAAUAAUAAGGUCAGUGAACCAUUGCAAAUAAUAAGGUCAGUGGACCAUUACAACUAAUAAGGUCAGUGGACCAUUGCAAAUAAUAAGGUCAGUGAACCAUUACAACUAAUAAGGUCAGUGAACAUAACACAAAACAAAUUCAGUUGACCCCUACAAUAAUGUCUGUGGGCCAAAAUACAACAUAAAGUCACUGGACCAUAACACAAAUUAAACUCAGUGGUCCAUUACUGUGAGGUUUUCUGAUUAUCAUAUAUGGACGUUUGUAGAUGAUCAUGAAGGUGGGAAUACAUAUUCAUAACAGUAACAUGAAAUAAGUACACUGUAUGUAGAAACAGUACCACCCAAACCUGGUACAUGUAAGUGUAUACUCCCACAAAACUACAAAACUGUUUGUAUAGGAGACUGAUUGAACUUACAUGGUUCCUAUAUACUCCACCAGACCACAUUAUCCAAGUUUCUUUUUGAGAAAUAUUGAAGAUUCUGUUGAUGUCUCAGUCCCCAGUUUUCAGGGGAAGAUGAUCCCGGAGCCUGGUGACAGUUUUAUUUUGUCAAUUUAUCAGCCACAUACCUUUAAAAAGUGUAGCUGCAUAUUGCUUAUCAUUUGCGAGCAUUCUGGUUUACAAUUAGGGUCCAGAUAGUGAUAUACCCUUUGAUUAUCAACCAUUUGCUCUGUGGAUUAUGACAUUUCUACAUACAAAGAGUUAAAAGAAAAUAAUGUAAAUAUUUUAAAUGACAUGUCCUCUGUAUGUAACCAAUACCAUACCGUCCACUCACACAAAAUAUCAUACGACAGUACUCCAUAAUCAUCAAAACUCAUAGUUAAAGCAGUUAAUGAAAAAAUAGAUUGGCAAAAAUAUAUUUUAAGUAGAACACAUCGUUAAAUUUAAUGGAAUAAAGCAGAAACUGCUACAUGUGUUUUCUAACUAACAUAAUGUUAAAUCAAUUGCAGGAAAAUAUACCACUAGAUGAAUGCUUGCUUACAAAACAUAUUACAUAAUGUAUUUAUUCAGCAAUGAGCCCAUGUAUAGUAAUAAGUGUACCAAUAUAAGUUGCCGUUCAAUAAGAAGUGCUAUUUUGUUGCGCCAUAAUUAAUCCAGCCUCUCCGAGUCAGAAGUUGCUCACUAUAUUUGGUCGGCCUCUGGGCUUACUGCGGGAUAAAUAUGGAAAUACUGACAAUUGACAAAGGAAGGUUGGUUGCUUUGUCAAAAAAAGGAAAUGGUUUCAAACAACUAUAUAAUAUCACCAGAGAGAAUUCAAGUCUAGCAAGUAUGUUUUUCACUUUAACAAGAUUUGUAUGGUGCUUGUACAGGUGAAAAUCAUUCAGUAUUCUGAACUUUUAAAACUACAUGUACUAUUUUUUUAAAUGGCUAUUCUAGUGGAAAAAAAAACCUGUCCACAGAACUGUCAGAUGGUACCCGUAAUAAAACCUAUUGACCUGAUGAUGGAUACUGUAAACAUUUCAUUUUAGCAGUAUUUUUAUUUUGGUGGUAUUCUUCUUUUAGCAGUUUUAGCUCUGAAAGCAUUCUGCUAAAUUAUGGUUUAGCAGUUCCUAUACUGUAAACAUACUAUUUUUGGCCAUUCUAAUUUUUGUGCAUUUCCAAAUUAUAACAAAUUAGCACAAUAAAGAAAUAGCACAUUCUCAUAUUUUCUGUAGGAAAAGCACAUAAUAUAUAAUGAAAUCUUAAUUUAGCCAAAUGCUUCAAGAGUGAAAAAUGCUAAAAUAUGACUACUGCUAAAAUAUGUACAAUUACAGUCUGCAUGUAUGUUUUCCAUGGAAAGCAUUGUGGGUGACAAAUUCAUCAUUGUGCUAAACUGUCCAAUAUGCAAGAAAAUGUUGAUGUGCCAAAAUCAACAUGUAUGAUAAUAUAGUAAAAUCAGCAUUAUGUCUAUAAAGUGCAAUAUUAUUUUUAUCUGUUGAAAUUAUUUGAGUCUUAAAUGUUACAAUGAAGUGUAUGUUAAUUCACAAUUAAUCACUUAUGUUAAAAUUGUCAUGGAAAUGUGUUUGAAUUAUAUCACAUACAUAAUAAUCCUUCACCACUUAAAGUCUAAAUCAGCAAAACCAAAGUAAAAGAAUCAACAUUUUGAGUAAAACAUGUUACAUAUUUACAGUCAGCAGACUCCAAUUAUUUUUAGACAAGUUUUAAAUAAUAUCACCACGUCUUUUUCAAAUCAUAGAACCACAACGUAAGCAAGGACACAAAAAUGUGCCAACACAUAGAUGUCACACUUAUCCAGCAGACAGCAUACACUUUUUUAUGUGAUGGUUCAGAGGGCAAUGGCCUAGAUAAAAGAUGACCUCUAUGACUAGGCAGACGACACACUAAUUAGGCAGACAAAAAGCAUCAUAUGUAAAACAACUGGAAAAUUCCAAGAACAAAAAAAAAAAAAAAA